AAUUAUCCAUAUCCAAAAACCAAAACACACUACCGCGCCACCGCUUCCAUUAGUCGGAGCGUGUCACUCUAUCCAACGGCCACGCUUCAUCCCAACAACAAUUCAACCACCACUUUAUGAUUUUCCACGUUUCUACGCUAUUCUUCAUUACCUUACCGUAAAAGAAAAUAACAUCAAAACUUUUAAAAAAGAAAAACCAACAAAGGAAGAAGGAAAAUUAGCGGUUCCGUUCGGUUAAGAAUACAAAACUGCAAAUAACCUUCUUAAGCGACUCUUUCAUGCACUUUCAUAAUUUCAUUUCAAUUUCAAUUUAAAAUCUUACUUUUGAAGAUUCUAGAAAAUGAUUAAGGCGUUUCUGGAUCGGGAUUAGGACUUUAGGGUUUUUGCUGAUUCAGAUUCCGAUCGGAAAUGUCCGAAACCAAUUCGCCACCUCGAACCUCCGGUUAUCUCGAUGCUCUCUCUCAAGCGAUCCACAAGAAGCUUCAGAGGGCGCUGGCUAGUUCCUCACAGAGGCGUAAUUUGUUGCAGGAGCUCUUUGCUGAUAUAGCUUUAGAGGUUGAUGAUCGAGCCAAAGAUGUAAUUUUCAACAAGGAAGAAGAUGUCAUUUCUCCGGAAAAUGAUGUCAUUGAUGGUCCGCUGUGUUUCUAUGAUGUGCUUGCUGAUUACUUUGUACAUGUGCCUGAAAGUGGGAAGCCCGUCCUUGACUUGAUUGUCCAACUUUGGAGCCAGUCAUUUGCUUCACAUAUUUUUAGCCUCUUGUUUCACAAAUGGAUGUUUGAAGUUCAUCUUGAUAAUCCAGAAGUGCUCCUUCGGUAUUCAUCUGCCCUGGUUCAAGGUGCCACAAAUGUUUUCUGGAUUGACAUUCAGACAAAUACAAAGCGUUUCCAGUCUAUAUUCCGUUACCUCUUGGAUGAUGUUGCAUUACACCACAGUAGAUUGAAUAAAAUUCCUCUCCAGGCUCAGCGAGAUAUGUAUCUUUUGCUCUCACGGUUCAUUCUAUUUUACAAUUCAGCUGGCAAAAUCGAUAGCUUCUUGAAACAAUGUCCUGUUUUUCAAACUGCCUUCUUAGUUGGCAGUCCGGCAGAUAUAUUUGUGAAUGAACUCACGGAUCAGCUUCAAAAGCUUAAGGUGGAACCUGUACUGCUGCAUUAUCUUUCAGAAAUCAAGGUCCUUCAGGGUGUGGAAUUGAGAAUGACGACAAGCACAAGAUUGAAAACAUGUUUGUAUAGUUUUACUUCUCCUGGUGGUCCAAUGUACCCGACCAGAGCUGUUCGUCAUGCUGCCUGGGAAGCACUAGAUUUUCUUUUUCCGGUUGGGCAAUACCCUCGGCAUCUCAUAAGUCUGUUCUUCAGGUUGCUCUAUCCAUGUAAAUGUCCAUAUGUCCUGAAGAUAUUGGAGUUCAUGCAUAGAACCCGGGUCAUCUCUUGCCAACCAGCACGAAUGCCUUCUCUGAUAUUUCUUUUUUCCACUCAAUGUGAUGUACAUAUCAUUUUUUGAAUUAAUAUGUACAAUUUUUAUCAGAGAAGGCAUAUUAUUCAGGAGGAAAACUUGGAAGAGGCCCCGCCCAGGGAGCAAGCGUAUGUGACAUUUUCAUUGUAUUAGAUUGUGUUGAUCCUACUAUUGCUAGCACAUGUGUCUUUAUGGUGUUAAGCAAUCUCCAAGAGUUUGGUUUGAUAGAUUCAGUACUGUAAUAUAACAGUUUGGUAUAGUCCGUAGUGAAGCCGACCAUUCUGGUUUUUUUUAUCAUCACUCAUCCCAAUAGUGAAUUACUCUUGCUGUGUAUGUAGAUGACAUUUUCAUAAUUUUUAGUCAUCAAUAAGGAAUAUUCCAACUCAUGACAAGUGUAUCUCUUCACCCAAAAGUAAAUGGUGGACUUCUAAGUCCAGGGUUGAUGGGACUGUACGUUGUCUUCCUUUGUUGGUGUGCAAUUAGAAGUGAACCCGAAGGAGAUCAAUGCAUCCGGAAGGAAGGCACUGUACCCGAAACCGACUGGCUAAACAUCAUUAGUUUUGUUAUUGGAAUACUAGCAAUAGUUUUUGCAACAUUUUCAACAGGCAUAGAUUCUAAAUCCUUUCAUUUCAGUUAAAGAAGAGUGAGAAGGCAACAGAAGAAAAUGAUGUUCCAUAUGGUUAUGGCUUCUUUCAUUUUGUUUUUGCCGUAGGAGCUAUGUACUUUGCAAUGCUAUUGGUUGGAUGGAAUAGUCAUCACUCUAUGAAAAAAUGGUCACUUGAUGUGGGCUGAACCAGUGCUUGGGUCAGAAUAGUAAAUGAAUGGUUGGCAGUCUGUGUAUACUGUACCACACCUUUGGUGUGUCAUGUUAUGCUCAUGAGUAUGAUGAAACAGAAAGGAAAUGCAACAUCUUAAAAGCAUGGUAGGAAGUUUACCUUUGAUUUGAGCUGCUGGCCAUGCUUAACAGUUCGGUCUUCAACCGAGCUGAGUGAAUGAGACUCAUUGGCAUGGGGGGCCUUCUGAAACAUUGGAAAUGGGCAGAGGCUGAAAACUUUGGGUGUCAGGCUGUGUUUGAAGUGGGGAGUUAUGCCUCAAGUAUAAAUUCUGGUGUCAGGCUGUGUUUGAAGUGGGGAGUCAUGCCUCAAAUAUAAAUUCUGGUGUCCCUAGUGAAAGUUGAAGCAAAACAUUGAAAAUUUGAGUUGUUCUUCAUAAUGCCUAUUAAGCUCACCAGAUCUUGCGAAAGAAAUGGGAGAAGGUGUGUAGAGAAAAUAAAAGGCGGGGAGGGGACUGGGUAUAUAAAAUUUGAGAGCUUUCAACUUAGCUUUGGUUUGGUACUGGCUCUUGAGGUUGCAUGUAGAAAAACAAAGUCAGUUUUUGAAAACCAGAAUUUCAUGUAUAUGGACCCAACAUAUUAUUCAAAAAAGUUUAUUUGACAGUAAUAUAUAAGACAACUAUUGCCCUUUUGUAAUUUGUACAAGUAAAGUGUAAACUUUGAAUUUUGUUUGAAAUCGUGAUUUCCGUUUUUGA